rnacentral:rRNA from 1 species
AGUGAACGCUGGCGGUAGGCCUAACACAUGCAAGUCGAACGGCAGCACAGAGGAGCUUGCUCCUUGGGUGGCGAGUGGCGGACGGGUGAGGAAUACAUCGGAAUCUACUCUGUCGUGGGGGAUAACGUAGGGAAACUUACGCUAAUACCGCAUACGACCUACGGGGGAAAGCAGGGGAUCUUCGGACCUUGCGCGACUGAAUGAGCCGAUGUCGGAUUAGCUAGUUGGCGGGGUAAAGGCCAACCAAGGCGACGAUCCGUAGCUGGUCUGAGAGGAUGAUCAGCCACACUGGGACUGAGACACGGUCCAGACUCCUACGGGAGGCAGCAGUGGGAAUAUUGGACAAUGGGCGCAAGCCUGAUCCAGCCAUACCGCGUGGGUGAAGAAGGCCUUCGGGUUGUAAAGCCCUUUUGUUGGGAAAGAAAUCCAUCUGGUUAAUACCCGGGUGGGAUGACGGUACCCAAAGAAUAAGCACCGGCUAACUUCGUGCCAGCCGCCGCCGUAA